rnacentral:rRNA from 1 species
GACGAACGCUGGCGGCGUGCUUAACACAUGCAAGUCGAGCGGUAAGGCCCUUUCGGGGGUACACGAGCGGCGAAUGGGUGAGUAACACGUGGGUGACCUGCCCUCAGCUCUGGGAUAAGCCUGGGAAACCGGGUCUAAUACUGGAUAUGACUCCAUGACGCAUGUUGUGGGGUGGAAAGCCUUGUGCGGCUGAGGAUGGGCCCGCGGCCUAUCAGCUUGUUGGUGGGGUGAUGGCCUACCAAGGCGACGACGGGUAGCCGGCCUGAGAGGGCGACCGGCCACACUGGGACUGAGACACGGCCCAGACUCCUACGGGAGGCAGCAGUGGGGAAUCUUGCGCAAUGGGCGAAAGCCUGACGCAGCGACGCCGCGUGAGGGAUGACGGCCUCGGUGUAAC